GAUUACUCCUCUAUGUCUGUGAAAUGCUGUGAAGGCUUUCCUCCCUAAAACAAGAUUUGACUUGAAGUAUAUCUUCUAGUGGAAAAAUAGGAGGGCACGAACUACCUUUUCAAAUAUACUUCUGUCUGUGUCAUCAGUGCCUUUUUUUGCACUCACAACAUCAUCUCUUUCAUUCUGGACUCCUUUUUGGACACCACAGCUAGGAACCACUGGCUUUGCUUAUCGAACUGCAGAGAAAAAAAGAAUUAGGUGAUACCAGAUAAAACUAAUGGAUGGCAGUUGCAAACAAAAGUCUUCAGAUGAUGGAUAAGUAAUCUGGAAAACAGCCAAAGGGGACUGAAGGCAACAAAUGCUUGUAAGGAUGGAAAAAGUAAUUUGAUUUUUCCUCCAAGGAUUUGUUCAUUGAGGGCUACUAAACACAAGGAUGCAUACUCUGA